rnacentral:tRNA from 1 species
AGUAAGAUAAGCUAUAUUAAGCUAGUGGGUUCAUACCCCAAAUAAGAGGUAAUCUCUCCUACUA